rnacentral:rRNA from 1 species
UUGUAGCCUGCUAUGGUAUAACUUAGUGGCAGACGGGUGAGUAAUAUAUAGGAAUCUACCUAGUAGUACGGAAUAAUUGUUGGAAACGGCAACUAAUACCGUAUACGCCCUACGGGGGAAAAAUUUAUUGCUAUUAGAUGAGCCUAUAUUAGAUUAGCUAGUUGGUGGAGUAAUAGCCUACCAAGGCAAUGAUCUAUAGCUGAUCUGAGAGGAUGAUCAGCCACACUGGAACUGAGAUACGGUCCAGACUCCUACGGGAGGCAGCAGUGGGGAAUAUUGGACAGUGGGCGAAAGCCUGAUCCAGCCAUGCCGCAUGAGUGAAGAAGGCCUUUGGGUUGUAAAGCUCUUUUAGUGAGGAAGAUAAUGACGGUACUCACAGAAGAAGUCCUGGCUAACUCCGUGCCAGCAGCCGCGGUAAUACGGAGAGGGCUAGCGUUAUUCGGAAUUAUUGGGCGUAAAGGGCGCGUAGGCUGGUUAGUAAGUUAAAAGUGAAAUCCCGAGGCUUAACCUUGGAACUGCUUUUAAAACUGCUAACCUAGAGAUUGAAAGAGGAUAGAGGAAUUCCUAGUGUAGAGGUGAAAUUCGUAAAUAUUAGGAGGAACACCAGUGGCGAAGGCGUCUAUCUGGUUCAAAUCUGACGCUGAGGCGCGAAGGCGUGGGGAGCAAACAGGAUUAGAUACCCUGGUAGUCCACGCUGUAAACGAUGAAUGUUAAAUAUGGGAAGUUUACUUUCUGUAUUACAGCUAACGCGUUAAACAUUCCGCCUGGGGACUACGGUCGCAAGAUUAAAACUCAAAGGAAUUGACGGGGACCCGCACAAGCGGUGGAGCAUGUGGUUUAAUUCGAUGCAACGCGAAAAACCUUACCACUCCUUGACAUGAAAAUCAUACCUAUUC